CCUACGGGUGGCAGCAGUCGAGAAUCAUUCACAAUGGGGGAAACCCUGAUGGUGCGACGCCGCGUGGGGGAAUGAAGGUCUUCGGAUUGUAAAUCCCUGUCAUGUGGGAGCAAAUUAAAAAGAUAGUACCACACGAGGAAGAGACGGCUAACUCUGUGCCAGCAGCCGCGGUAAUACAGAGGUCUCAAGCGUUGUUCGGAAUCACUGGGCGUAAAGCGUGCGUAGGCAGUUUCGUAAGUCGUGUGUGAAAGGCGCGGGCUCAACCCGCGGACGGCACAUGAUACUGCGAGACUAGAGUAAUGGAGGGGGAACCGGAAUUCUCGGUGUAGCAGUGAAAUGCGUAGAUAUCGAGAGGAACACUCGUGGCGAAGGCGGGUUCCUGGACAUUAACUGACGCUGAGGCACGAAGGCCAGGGGAGCGAAAGGGAUUAGAUACCCUUGUAGUC
rnacentral:rRNA from 1 species